ACCAAGAAAAACGGCAAAAAGACUGGUACCGACUUUGAAGCAUCCCGCCAUUUCUGUGAGGGUUUUGAAGCUCGUUGAGAAACGUGAAUUAGAAACGAUUUAGAAAAUCUUUCUCGCCCCACAGAAAAAAAAAAGUUUUUAACUAGAAAAGUGAUCAACACGCUGAAAGACGGAACUGUUAAAGAAUGGUAGAGAGGUCGAUGAGCUUAACUUCUUAGAACCUAAAGACAAAAAGGAAUUUACACGCAAAAGGAUGGAUUUGUUCAAGAACUGGCUCAUAGAGAAGUCGAUGGACUUAACGAUAACGCAUCUGCACACAUCUGAGCCUUGGUAUGUUGUUAUCAUGUUCUUAAAAUUGGGUGAAAUCUCAGAAUGGACGUUCUUAUAAAAAAAUAGUGUACUCGGAUGAAUAACAGCUCACUGACAACAUAAUCAAUAUUUCUUAUAUUUUAAGCAUUAACGAAAAGCUUGAAAAAAAACAGGAAUUGAGAACGAAACGAAGACACCAAGCGUAACAUUGUAAGGCGUAACAUUGUAAAGAUUUACAAGAUAAAGAAUGUAUAACCCAUCAACAGACAGGAUUUGCAUAGAUUGUACGCAGAUUGUAGUAAAAGGAAUUGUUUUUUUCGCCAAGUUCAAGCUUUUGCUGAUGACAUGGGUGGGCUACAAGCAGGGGAUUCAUUAGGCCCCUGCAGCCAGCAGAACUGCCAGUUAUUUUCCACCGAGCGCCGCCUCCUUUUUUUAGAAAGCUUAUUUAAGUUUUAUUUGAACCAAUAAAUAACUUCUACCCCCCACUUAUCAAUCUCCACCGACUACUUUGAAACUUAAUAAAACUCCUGUGAUCUCCUGGUGCUGGUUUGUGGAGAAUUUUGAGCAAGCUCAGAGUAGGAUAUUCAUGGAUAACUGCAAGAGAGGUGCCAAAUGGUCGCUAGAUAUUUUUGAAUUCUCGGAUUCUAGCAUUUUGACUUCUUGUUCUCAGAUCUUUAGAAAAGCAAGAUCUCGUUUUCUCUGAUUUUCAAAACGGCCCUCUCGCCCACUCUGGACUAUUUCUCAGAUUGACCAUUCGCCUUCCCCUACAAGCUAGACGGGCUGAGUGUGUUCUCACAGCACUUAGUCUGGAAGAAUUGUUUUUUGAAAACUGUGAACUUGUUAAGAUGCUGUUGAAGUUCAUGGUUAGAAACCUGAAUAAAGAAGCUGAAAAAGUUGUUCACAAUCAUGACAGCUAUUGGUGGCUUGCUAAACUAGAUAUAGUAAGGUGCUGCUAGAUGCCGCAAGUCAAGGGAGAAGACAAUACACCCAAUAUCAUGAAGACUAGAGAAGGGCCAGGAGAAGAUUUUUGGAUGCCGUAAGCGAAAAUGCCAAGAAGAAACUGUAGAAAGGGCACAAUUAGUCCUCCUCACUAAGUCAAAUGCACUGCAAAUCUUUGCUAAGGAAAUUCGAAAAAAGAAAAAGUACAAUUGAAAAAGGCUUUGGUAAAAUCUUGGAAGGCCCUACAUUGUCUCUAUUAUUUCUUUGUUAUGCUACCCCUUGAAUUUCCACAAAAAGUCCUUGAAGAAGUCCUUGAAUUUUAUUUGUGGAAAAUUGUACGCACCCUGUUUGGUCCUUGUUACCUUUGUUCUUUUAUUCCUUUUAUUCUUUUUGUGUGCCAAGACUUUUGGGGAAUAGUUUUGAAGGAGAUUGCUGGAAUUUUCCAACUUUUGGGAUAUUCCUCUUAUCCUGCUUUAUCGCUUGCACCACUUUUCUUGGGCAAGUUUAGGGGUUCUUGUUGUUUUAUCUUGCCCCUUGAGUCUUAAUAUCAGCAUAAUAAUAUAAGACUGCUUUCUAUGUGCCUUCUAUGUACAUAAAAGAAAUCAAUAUACAAUGGAAUAACUUAAGUACUGAACCUACAUAGCCAUAUAAAGGGCUUUAGUUAACAGAAAAAUAAUAAUGCCUAUAUACAUUGUAUUACAUAGCUAUUGGGUAAAAUCAAUAUAAAA